rnacentral:rRNA from 3 species
UACGUAGGUGGCAAGCGUUGUCCGGAUUUACUGGGCGUAAAGGGAGCGUAGGCGGAUACUUAAGUGGGAUGUGAAAUACCUGGGCUUAACUUGGGUGCUGCAUUCCAAACUGGGUGUCUAGAGUGUUGGAGAGGAAAGUGGAAUUCCUAGUGUAGCGGUGAAAUGCGUAGAGAUUAGGAAGAACACCAGUGGCGAAGGCGACUUUCUGGACAAUAACUGACGCUGAGGCUCGAAAGCGUGGGGAGCAAACAGG